ACGGCAGAAGCCCUGCUCAAGGCUUUCCCCGCCGUCCCUCAAAUGGAUUUCAGCACCUCCAGAAGCAAAAUGGCAAGAAGGAGAGAGAAGAUGUGGCUCAGCACAUCCUGGAGGCCUCUGUCGUUGACGAGGAAAAUUCAUGCGCUGUGUGCCACCUUUAAGCCUCCCGGACCAGGGGCGGCCAUUAUACAGUGGACACAGUGUGAUCGCUGUGACAGGAGCUUCCAUGGAUCCUGUGUGUCAGUGGACGGUGACGCCUUAGACAACGCAAAGGACAAGACUUGGGCAGCCAGUUAUGUCCAGAAGACGAAGUUCAAGGACACACACAGGACAGCUAAAGCAGAGGCUGGGGGACACUC